GUAUUGCGUCAACAAUACAUAUACUAAAAUUGGAACGAUAUGGAGAAGAUUAGCGUGGCCCUUCCGCAGGAAUGAUAUGCAAAUUUGUGAAGCGUCCCUCAUUUUG